rnacentral:rRNA from 1 species
GAUGGACGCUGGCGGCGUGCCUAAUACAUGCAAGUAGAACGCUGAAGCUUGGUGCUUGCACCGAGCGGAUGAGUUGCGAACGGGUGAGUAACGCGUAGGUAACCUGCCUCUUAGCGGGGGAUAACUAUUGGAAACGAUAGCUAAUACCGCAUAAAAGUCGAUAUCGCAUGAUGUUGACUUGAAAGGUGCAAUUGCAUCACUAAGAGAUGGACCUGCGUUGUAUUAGCUAGUUGGUGAGGUAACGGCUCACCAAGGCGACGAUACAUAGCCGACCUGAGAGGGUGAUCGGCCACACUGGGACUGAGACACGGCCCAGACUCCUACGGGAGGCAGCAGUAGGGAAUCUUCGGCAAUGGGGGCAACCCUGACCGAGCAACGCCGCGUGAGUGAAGAAGGUUUUCGGAUCGUAAAGCUCUGUUGUAAGAGAAGAACGAGUGUGAGAGUGGAAAGUUC